AAUCAACGCUGGCGGCGUGCCUAACACAUGCAAGUCGAACGCGAAAACCCCGCAAGGGGUUAGUAGAGUGGCAAACGGGUGAGUAACACGUGGGUGACCUGCCUUAGAGUGGGGGAUAACGUCCCGAAAGGGACGCUAAUACCGCAUAACACUCCUGCCUUUGAAGAGGUGGAGAUCAAAGCUGGGGACCGCAAGGCCUAGCGCUCAAAGAGGGGCCCGCGCCUGAUUAGCUAGUUGGNGGGGUAAUGGCUCACCAAGGCAACGAUCAGUAUCCGGCCUGAGAGGGCGGACGGACACACUGGGACUGAGACACGGCCCAGACUCCUACGGGAGGCAGCAGUGGGGAAUUGUUCGCAAUGGGCGCAAGCCUGACGACGCAACGCCGCGUGGAGG
rnacentral:rRNA from 1 species